rnacentral:rRNA from 1 species
CGGGUGCGUAACACGUGAGCAACCUACCGAAAUGAGGGGAUAGCCGUCCCAACGGACGGGUAAUACCGCAUACGCUCGAGACCAGGCAUUUGGACUCGAGGAAACCUCCGGGGCAUUUCGAGGGGCUCGCGGCCUAUCAGCUAGUUGGUGAGGUAACGGCUCACCAAGGCGACGACGGGUAGCUGGUCUGAGAGGAUGGCCAGCCACAUUGGGACUGAGAUACGGCCCAG